CGGUGGAGUAUGUUGGUUUAAUCGAUGCAACGACGAACGAACCUUACCUGGUCUUGACAUCCCGGAGACCCUUAGGAAACUAGGGGGUGCUUCCAUCUGGAAGAAUCUGGAGACAGGUGCUGCAUGGCUGUCGUCAGCUCGUGUCGUGAGAUGUUGGGUUAAGUCCCGCAACGAGCGCAACCCUUGCCUUUAGUUGCCAGCAGUUCGGCUGGGCACUCUAAAGGGACUGCCGGUGUUAAACCGGAGGAAGGUGGGGAUGACGUCAAGUCCUCAUGGCCUUUAUGACCAGGGCUACACACGUACUACAAUGGCCGAUACAAAGGGCAGCGACACUGCGAGGUGAAGCCAAUCCCGUAAAAUCGGUCUCAGUCCGGAUUGGAGUCUGCAACUCGACUCCAUGAAGUUGGAAUCGCUAGUAAUCGUGGAUCAGCAUGCCACGGUGAAUACGUUCCCGGGCCUU
rnacentral:rRNA from 1 species